rnacentral:rRNA from 1 species
GGGUCAUUAGGUUGGUCGUGCCACCGGUACGUACUGGUCUCACUGAUCCCUCCUUCCUGAAGAACCGUAAUGCCAUUAAUUUGGUGUUGCGGGGAAACAGGACUGUUACUUUGAAAAAAUUAGAGUGUUUAAAGCAAGCUAACGCUUGAAUACAUUAGCAUGGAAUAAUGAAAUAGGACGAUCGAUCCUAUUUUGUUGGUUUCUAGGAUUGACGUA